UACGUAGGGGGCAAGCGUUGUCCGGAUUGACUGGGCGUAAAGGGUGCGUAGGCGGUUUGGUAAGUUAAAUGUGAAAGCCUGUAGCUCAACUACAGAAUUGCAUUUGAUACUGCUAGGCUUGAGCCCGGGAGAGGCGAGUGGAAUUCCUAGUGUAGCGGUGGAAUGCGUAGAUAUUAGGAGGAACACCAGUGGCGAAGGCGGCUUGCUAGAACGAUACUGACGCUGAGGCACGAAAGCGUGGGGAGCAAAC
rnacentral:rRNA from 1 species